GACCGUGUACCCGAGUGGUUCAGGGGCCGGCCUGCAAAGCCUGCUACGUGGGUUCGAUUCCCACCACGGUCUCCA
rnacentral:tRNA from 20 species